rnacentral:rRNA from 1 species
UGAUGCAGCAACGCCGCGUGAGGGAUGACGGCCUUUCGGGUUGUAAACCUCUUUCACCCAUGACGAAGCGCAAGUGACGGUAGUGGGAGAAGAAGCACCGGCCAACUACGUGCCAGCAGCCGCGGUAAUACGUAGGGUGCGAGCGUUGUCCGGGAAUUACUGGGCGUAAAGAGCUCGUAGGCGGUUUGUCGCGUCGUCUGUGAAAUCCCGCAGCUCAACUGCGGGCUUGCAGGCGAUACGGGCAGACUCGAGUACUGCAGGGGAGACUGGAAUUCCUGGUGUAGCGGUGAAAUGCGCAGAUAUCAGGAGGAACACCGGUGGCGAAGGCGGGUCUCUGGGCAGUAACUGACGCUGAGGAGCGAAAGCGUGGGUAGCGAACAGGAUUAGAUACCCUGGUAGUCCACGCCGUAAACGGUGGGCGCUAGGUGUGGGUUUCCUUCCACGGGAUCCGUGCCGUAGCCAACGCAUUAAGCGCCCCGCCUGGGGAGUACGGCCGCAAGGCUAAAACUCAAAGGAAUUGACGGGGGCCCGCACAAGCGGCGGAGCAUGUGGAUUAAUUCGAUGCAACGCGAAGAACCUUACCUGGGUUUGACAUGUACCGGACGACUGCAGAGAUGUGGUUUCCCUUGUGGCCGGUAGACAGGUGGUGCAUGGCUGUCGUCAGCUCGUGUCGUGAGAUGUUGGGUUAAGUCCCGCAACGAGCGCAACCCUUGUCCUGUGUUGCCAGCACGUGAUGGUGGGGACUCGCAGGAGACUGCCGGGGUCAACUCGGAGGAAGGUGGGGACGACGUCAAGUCAUCAUGCCCCUUAUGUCCAGGGCUUCACACAUGCUACAAUGGUCGGUACAGAGGGCUGCGAUACCGUGAGGUGGAGCGAAUCCCUUAAAGCCGGUCUCAGUUCGGAUCGGGGUCUGCAACUCGACCCCGUGAAGUCGGAGUCGCUAGUAAUCGCAGAUCAGCAACGCUGCGGUGAAUACGUUCCCGGGCCUUGUACACACCGCCCGUCACGUCAUGAAAGUCGGUAACACCCGAAGCCGGUGGCCUAACCCCUCGUGGGAGGGAGCCGUCGAAGGGGAUCGCC